rfam:Parcubacteria bacterium C7867-002 C7867_00114, whole genome shotgun sequence.
CGCGGGGUAGAGCAACGGUAGCUCGUCAGGCUCAUAACCUGAAGAUUGUCGGUUCGAUUCCGGCCCCCGCAA